ensembl:lncRNA
GAAACUGAAGCUGUGAGAUGUGCAGUGGUUACCAUAGCAUACAGUGAAUGAAGGUGUGCAAGCAUGAGGGAGCUAAGAUGUCCCCUAACAGCAGGAUGAAUAAUGACUUGGUCGCUAAAGAAGAAAACGGAUGUGGAUGUCUCAGUGUACGCAGAGCAGAAUAGACAAUGGCUUCACCUACUUGAGAAAUUACUAUGUUGGGCUGGCAGGACUUACGUGAGCUAUUCAGCCAAGACAGAAACAACUCCAUGCUCCUGGAUGGCCAAGUUACAAACGAGGUUGAUCUGUCUGCACUGCUGAAACUUGAUGACUCGCAAUCAACAGUCUGUAGAACAAUGCGGUUAACAGUGUGAAGAUGUGGAUUUUUUUCCACCUCUAAAUGCUGGGUUCUGUGCUGGGCCAGUGAGAAAAUUUGCUGUAAUGAGUUUUUCUUACUGAGAGUGACCAAAGCAGAACAUAGGAAGGAGUGCAGCAAAUCAAAGAAGCAAAGAAAAGGUUGGGAAGACAGACAAGCAGCUAAUGCAGCCAUGCCACGGUGUUGAAGCGCGACGUCGGGUGAAAUGCAGGCAUUGUGUGGAGCCGUGAGAGCGCCAGCAGUGCACGGCACGUGGGAACACAUUCAGGCCUACACCAAUGAGAAGAAACAGGAAAGGCUGUGGGCAUCCCACUGCCUUUGCUGUGCUGAUUCCUGGGGAAGCAGAAGAAGAAGAGCUCCAGCAGGUAAGAUGCAGCCAUCAAUUUUGCUACUACGAUAACAGUAUGUGUCUGAGGUACCAUUCCCAGAUGGCUUUCCUAGGCCCUCAGAUUUCAAAAACUGCCAGGGAGUUUUUGUAAUUCACCUCACAGUAAACGUAAACACUGCUUAAUGGAUGGCUUUAAUGCUGCCUUUCUGCUUCAAGGAUUUUUCAUUGGUCGCUGCUGCAGUGCUGGAACUUGCCCCGGGGCUGCACGCAGGCUGCCAUGCAGCCAAGGGCUUAGAAACCUGUGUCAUUUCAGUUCAUGUUGAUUAUGGUUUUUGACUGAAAUACUGUGGUAUUCUUUUUAAAGAAAGCACUGAGUCACCAAAACUAGCACUUACUUUGUAAAUGCAUUGGUUUUGAGGGGAAACUUUCUGAAGCAGAUGGAACUGCUGUAUAGAGGGGAAAAAAAAUUCUUCACUGAUUAGGGCACUCGUGUAUGGGAGCCCUACAGUCAGCAAAGAGCUGUUAUUUAUGAACUUGUCACUACACCUGCGAGGGAACGGAGCAGAGCAAGGAUUUGAACCAGACUAGUUUCCCAAUCAUUGGUUCAUGGUCUCAGUGUAUACUGAGAGUGCCAAUUUAUUUUGGAAGCCUCGCUAAAUAUUCAUGAAGUCUGGGAUAAAAUCCCCACAAGAUAGCAGUUACAGGAGCUGGAUGAGAUACAGGCUGCUCGUGCUUAAGCCCUUGAUUCAAGCUGCUUAGAGAAAUACCUCAUGUUCAAGUCCCAUCUCCCACCCAGUGAGCUUAUGUGCUGUGUUGCUCUCCAUUCAGCAUGAUAUAGAAAGACAACCCCAGAAGUCAAACUUCCUUUUUUUCCUACUCCAAUUCUGCCUACCCCAAUGUACUAGAAAUGAAUAAAAUUAGAAUUGGGCCAUACAUUUAUAUCCCCAUUUUCCCUCCAACAUCUCUUCACUGGGUAUGCCUGGUUGUAGAUUUGCUGCAGUUCAUUUCUUCAAGAUUACCCUGAAAGGAGUGAUUUUGUUUAUCUUCAAAAUGAAAGUUGGUGGGAAUGGUGGCUUCCCCGUAUUAAUUGUAUGAACAGAAAGCGGUGCUGUGAGGUCAAGAGGAAGUGCAGUGCUCAAGAUAUUACCAAACUAUGUCAUGAAAACAGAUGUGCUCUGCUGCUUCUUUCUAUGUAUGGGGAAUUUUCUCAAGAUCUUAAGAGAUGUCUACUCUGACCACAGAGGCUUUUGUCUUAUUCUUCCACUUUCCACCUUUGAGAACAGAUCAUGGUGGUUUUUUUUUGUGGGCUUUCCCCCCCCCCCCCCUCCAUGUUUUCUUUUGGUUUUCUAGCAGCCUCACAUGGGCCCAGCACUGGGAGCAGAAGCUCAGCAUCACCCACUACAGCCUCCUUUCUACAGCACUGCCAGCUGAUUCAGUCCUUGCCUCAGGUGAUCAAUUGGUGGUUCAGGCUGUGAUUCAACAGUUCCCAUGCAGUACUUUAUCCAAACACUGAACAACCGUGCUGUACCUUCGUAGCAACGUGAGGAGUUCUACACGUUGAGAGAUGACUGCCUCAACUUUCAGCUUUCAGCCCUGACUCUUCUUAAAGGUGAGUUUUUGGUUGGCAGAGAGUGAUUGUGAAAUUUAGAGCCAUAAUUUUUCUUUGGUAUGAUGGAGUUUUGUAGGUUGGUUGUAGCAGUUUUGUAAGUUGGUUUCAAAAUUGCACUUUUACUCUGCUAAUUAGGUGGUAUUGACCACCAACUUGAACUAGGUAGUGUUACAAGUAUGAUGUGUAAGUGUUGUGUCAGAGGACAAGGAAUGUUGUUGCCUGAACCACAGCUGUAAUGCUGUACCUGGCCUUGUUUACAUUGCUGAAGCUCUGUGGAGUGCAGUUCUUCUGUGGAAAAUGGAAAUGAAUGGUAUUUGCCUAUCACAAAAGAGUGCUACAGUAGGUUGUUAGCUCCACUGGAUUGUCUACGUGAAGGUGUACAGAACUGUUCAGAAAUCUCCACUAGCUACUUGGGAUUUGGACUUGCGUUUUUGUAGCUCUGCUAACUAAAUUCCAGUGUAACAAUUGCAAUAGAUUCUUCGUAUGGUUCUUCUUUUAUUUUGCUUGUUAUUGGAAAGGAACUUCUAAUCUAUGCACCAGGCUCAGCAGCAGUGCAGGCAGGAAAGGACCCGAACUUUAGAGCUUCUGUCAGUUUGGACUGGAAAUAAUUGUGCAAAGGAUUGUGAGAUUUUGCUGUCUUCAAAUGUGAAAUAUACUUGAGCAACAGUUUAUCUUUUAGUGUAACUUCAAUUCAAAUCUUAGCUUCAGAUACUAUGAUUUUGACUUUUCCUAAUAAAAAAUCCAGGUGGAAGUGACUAGAAAUAGGAAGCAAAUACCUAAUUUGCAGAAAAAUGCCUUGGCGGUAGUGAAGUGAGAGCGCCUGACAGACUGCCUCAUGGUGUUCAUUCUUACUGAGCUACAGUGAAGGCAGAUGAAGCAUAAAUUACUCAGUAAGCAAAUGCCUUGUUUUCUCUGUAACUCCACCUCUUUGGGGCAUCCUGCCCUGUCCCCACCCCUCGCACUUGUCUGCUUGUCUUAAUGGCAGUAUUCACGCAGCUGGUAAUUUAUGUGUCUGAGAGAGAAGAUUUACACAGAGCCUUCCCUUCAGUUAUUCAGAAAAUGUGAGAUACAACACGUGAUUUGUUAGGUCCCAAACUCUUAAAAGUCACGAACAUCUUAAUGGCUGGGCUCGAGCAAGAGAAGUUUUAUAUGCAAUAACUUGAGCGAGAAGCUGGUUCUGAGGUCCUCACUUUACGCCUAGUUACAAAAGUUUGUCUUCAAAAUAAAUACAAUGCCUAUUGUAACAUAAGCACACAGUAAUUUGGCUUUGGUUGAAGCAGUUCGAUGCGCUGCUCUGGCAGACAGACGGAGCUGAUCCAGUUACGGAGACCUGCUUGAUUCGGUCGGUGUCUUGUGUCAUAAACACGAAUUGUUAAUUUCAUAUUACUCAUAACAGGCGCACUGUGAAUGUUUGCAGCGUUUAUAGGAUAUCAGUUACAAAUGUGAUUAUACCAGCCAUUCCUCAGGACUGACACCAGUUUCAAAUUAGAAGCUGACAGGCCUCACCUGCUCCUGAGUUCACCGACAGGUCACCUUCUUGUCAUUUUGGCUGUCCCCCCCCUCAGAAUGACAUCUGUGUUCAUAAAGGGACAGUGAGGGACUCUAAGUUGUUAGAAUUGUUGAAGAAUAAGAAUAAGGUGUCAUCUACUCCAAUAACGUAGUACUCAACUUUGGCCUUUCAGAUGGCGUGAUGCUUGUAGCACCUGACAAUGUUUCCAGAUACAAGAAUAGCCAGAUCGGAGGGGCAGCAGUUGUUCCCUCUUCUACGCACGGAUGCUAGGCAUUCAGCCCAGUGCUAGCCACACAGUAGAGGCAACCUCAGAGUAUUCAGCAAGGGCUUUCAAAAUACCUUUACUUUUUACAUAAAGGGAUAGCACGUUAGCUUAAAUUAAAUCAUUCAGAGGAUGUUAUUACAUAGUCAGAUUUUAAAGCAACCUGUGAAAGGCAAAAGGUAAAUACUGUUAGACAUACAACUAGAUAAAAUAUAUUUGAAGCCUUUUCAAUUUGUUGGACAUCUGCAUGAAUCUCUGCGUACUGUGGGUAUAGAUGCAAACCGUGAUGUUACGUGGAAUUGUCCUAGCACUUAAAAACACAUAUUUCUUCCUUUCUAAGGAAGAUUUUUCGCAUUUGCUCGAUUGCUGUAACGCAGUUGAGAUAGGGCAGUCCAAUUACUCUGCCCAGACACUUCUCAAAACUCAGAAAAAGGGCAUCCCUCUUCCAACACAGGUUCAUAAUUAGCUUAUUUCUGUCAGUGAACGCACAGAGAUGUCAGAUCCAAACAACCUCAAACUGUUCAGAACAGAGAUUUGGGCUCCUCUGCAUUUCAAGUUUACUGAAUAAGUGCACAAACCAAUACAUGCAUGCCUCAAAUGGAACAGCUGUGCAUCUGUCUCCUUAAUGCAUGGGUUUUACAGGAAGCUAAGCAUGUGCAUACGUAUAAGCCCACUGAAGUUGCCUGCCCCAUUGCUGCUGUAUGUAGAGAGGAAGGUCUGUGGGUGAGCUCCCAGCUGUGGGCUGUGAAAGCUUUUCUCCUGGCACCUCCAGGGGCUGGACAGACUUACACUCACCUUGAGCUCAGUUGUGUGCUGGUGAGAAAAGAGCAGAGAUGUUCGUGAGAGGGUGGGAAAGGAUAAACAAGAUGUUCAAUUGCACUUUGCCAAAUGAAGGACUCAGAGCAGCCAAGGAAAAUCUUUUUUUUCUAUUUUCCUCACUAAAUUAAACCUUUAUUUUUGUCUUAGACACUGUGGCUAGCAGAACUGUGAGGACAUUCACAGUUAUAACAGUUACCAUCAUUCUCUGAAAUCUGUCCUUGAUUUUAUUUUCUGCUUCAGGAAAUAUUAUAGUAUUGUUAUUUUAUCUAUAUUAAAUAAACCUAAGGCCUGACUCUUCAUGGUGUAAACAAGCAUGACUUCAGGAAAGCAGUGCUGAAUCACGCCAUCUGUGUGUCUGAGUCUUAAUAUAAAAAGGAACAUGUUACUAGAGAGUAAACAGAAGUAAACAUUUGUUAUGGAAACUCACGUUAUCAACCCAGACACCCUCCUCCGGCGUUUAGCAGGAAAAAAACCCACCUAUGGUAGAUUUACAGAAGCCACCGCUUUUUUUUUUAAUGAUUUGGAUAUUGAUCAUUUUUAAUCUUCUUCUCAGAACAACCGGGAGAUCUAUUAUAGCUUGAGCCAGCCAUGAAAAGCAGGUCCGUUCUUUAACCUGCCCCAAUUCACUUGGACAUAUUUUAUAUCUCCAGGGAUUCAGCCACAAAGUCCAUUAGAGCAUCAGAUGCAGUGAGGUCAAAUCAAUUGUCCAUACUGCAGACAAGGUAACCAUCAUUUACUGUAAUUCUCCCCCGUCAUGGUAGAGGAGAGGAAAGGUUAAAAGCUGUAUUACCAUGAGGCUGUCUCAUCUAUCUUUCAGUAUAUUGGUAAUACCUAAACAUUGCUUAAGGAACUGAAUGCACAAUCUUAAAUCUGCGUUAGAAUGGAUUUAGAGGUUAGAUUGCCAACUUGCAAAAUUUGCGAAUGAUGAUUUCUUCAAAGAAAAGCAGAAAAAAUGAAAAUUUUAAAACAAAAAGCUUAAAAUAUAUUGUCACGUCUGACACAGCCGAUCUGAAGCUAUACUGAACGUUCAUCUCACAAUGACCCGAAUGACUGCUAUUUAUCCUUCCCUAUACAUACAUAUAUUUACCUAUGAAGUAAUUUGCUGUCAUCUCUUUAAGGUGGAGAUGCUAUGACAGUCCAAAAACAAAAGAGGAAGUAAAUUCAGGAUGUAUAUUUUUGCACUGUAAAUCAAGCCCUUAUGUGUUUGCACUCUACGAUGGGCAAUAAUAAUUGACUGAAGCAAUCACUGCUGUGGGAAAACAAACGUCCUGGCAGUGUCGCAUGUGAAGGUCAAGCCUGAUGACACAGUAAGCACCUGAACUCUCACUGACUCCUGGGGAGGCGGCCGCUGAGCACCUCCCGGAGCUCUCCUGGCAGGGACAGAUUUACGCAGCCGCCGGGCAGGGGGUGAGGAUGCUUUUUCGCUCCCACCUCCUUCCGUUGGGUCUGCAAAGUCAUUUAUUUCCAUUACAUGUUCUCUCUGGCUCCUCUGCUCGGUAUGUCAGCUGCAUGAAACCAGAGAGAAAAGGCACUUCUGUGCUUCCAGGGACUGUGCAUCCCUCCUCCUUCAAACAAUUGUGCUGGCCCCAAUUCACUUCAUGCAAGCUGGUGCAUUGUUUGCAUGCAGGGGAGCUGUGUCCACUGCACACGCGUGUGAAAGCUGUGGCACCAUGGCCCAGAUCUUGUUGGACACUGUUGAAGCAGGAAGCAAUAAACCCAGCUUUAUUCACUUGCUUAUUUGCCUUUUCUAGGUUAAUCUUUUCUCUUUCCCUGGAUUUCUUUAAUCCUGGGAUGUUUUCAUUGAGAAAGUGAUUGAAUGAAGAGGCAUUUAGAUUUUCUGUAUUAUGGAAAUGUUUUCACAGCUGUCAGAACCAGUAAUUCUGUCCUUCUGUUUCAGAAGCUAGGUUCUAAGCAAACGUACGCAUCCGUUGUUUAAAAUAGAGGCAAAGAAAUAAGGAAUAGAAAAUAGUCACUGCAGUACAAGUGUGUAUUUCUGAGGCUGACGUAUAUUCUGACAUACGUUCACGGUAACUGUAUUGGGAGACAAUGGAUGAACGCAGUGGGAGUGUAAGAGCUGAUGAUGUACGUUACAGAUAAUAAAUAUUUUUGUACGGAAGCUUAUUUGUAAAACUUAGAGUUUAACACUCAGCACAAUAAAUUCCACUUUCAGGUAAUGUGGGCAUUCAAUAACCAUAAAAAGGAACCGGUAAAAGUUUUGUGUGCGCUGAAGGAGAGAGAAAUGUGCUUUAGAUUAGGUGUUACAUACCUUUCACUUAGCUGCUUUUCCUCCUCUGUUUCCUCUUUUCAUGAUUUUCUUUAUUAUUACCUACUCUCUGGGCUCCUUUUCCUCAGUCUGUGUUGCCCAUCACCUCUGAAUUCAUCCCUAUGAAUGUUUAUGCACAGGUCUUUCACAACAGUGCAGACUGGCAUUGUGCU